rnacentral:rRNA from 1 species
UACGAAGGGGGCUAGCGUUGCUCGGAAUUACUGGGCGUAAAGGGCGCGUAGGCGGAUAGUUUAGUCAGAGGUGAAAGCCCAGGGCUCAACCUUGGAAUUGCCUUUGAUACUGGCUAUCUUGAGUUCGGGAGAGGUGAGUGGAAUGCCGAGUGUAGAGGUGAAAUUCGUAGAUAUUCGGCGGAACGCCAGUGGCGAAGGCGACUCACUGGCCCGAUACUGACGCUGAGGCGCGAAAGCGUGGGGAGCAAACAGG